rnacentral:rRNA from 1 species
AGAGUUUGAUCCUGGCUCAGAAUCAACGCUGGCGGCGUGCCUAACACAUGCAAGUUGAGCGCUUGAGGGGGCAACCCCAAGAGAGCAGCGAACGGGUGAGUAACGCGUGGGUGAUCUUCCUUCGAGUGGGGAACAACAUCGGGAAACUGGUGCUAAUUCCGCAUAAUACCCUGGGGCUACGAGCCUCAGGAUCAAAGCCGGGGACCGCAAGGCCUGGCGCUUGAAGAUGAGCCCGCGUCCGAUUAGCUAGUUGGCGGGGUAAUGGCCCACCAAGGCUCCGAUCGGUAGCCGGCCUGAGAGGGCGGACGGCCACACUGGAACUGAGACACGGUCCAGACUCCUACGGGAGGCAGCAGUGGGGAAUUUUUCGCAAUGGGCGCAAGCCUGACGAAGCAACGCCGCGUGGAGGAUGAAGGUCUUCGGGUUGUAAACUCCUGUCGACCGGGACGAAUGCACUCGACCUAAUACGUCGGAAUGUUGACGGUACCGGUGGAGGAAGCCACGGCUAACUCUGUGCCAGCAGCCGCGGUAAUACAGAGGUGGCAAGCGUUGUUCGGAAUUACUGGGCGUAAAGGGCGCGUAGGCGGCCUUGUAAGUCUCGUGUGAAAGCCCUCGGCUUAACUGAGGAUCUGCACGGGAUACUGCGAGGCUUGAGUUCGGGGGAGGAAAGCGGAAUUCCGGGUGUAGCGGUGAAAUGCGUAGAUAUCCGGAGGAACACCAGUGGCGAAGGCGGCUUUCUGGACCGACACUGACGCUGAGGCGCGAAAGCUAGGGGAGCAAACGGGAUUAGAUACCCCGGU